CAUCCCUCAUCCGAGCAUUGAAAAUGGCAUAACUAGUUUUGUGCCUUUCAACGUCAUCAGGCAUGCCAAAGGAGUCGUUCAACAUUUGAAGCAUCUCCUGCGGCUGGGCAUUCUCGAACCUGCGACUGAACUCAUCAUUCAUUACCGUCAGCAUUAUGCACCGAACGGUGGUGCAGUCAUUGAGCCACUUCUGAUAAGUGUCUCGGACCGUCCCUCUAGCGUUCGGGGCUGGCUCCUCAGGUGUC
rnacentral:lncRNA from 1 species